rnacentral:rRNA from 1 species
UUAGUAGUCAUCCGCUCGUCUCAAAGAUUAAGCCAUGCAUGUGUAAGUGUAAAUAUACUAGUUUGGAACUGCGAAUGGCUCAUUAUAUCAGUUAUAGUUUAUUUGGUGAAGUGUACUACUUGGAUAACCGUAGUAAUUCUAGGGCUAAUACAUGAGAAAGUCCUCUGGUGAGGUGUGUUUAUUAGAAUGAAAACCAUAUGCUUCGGCAUGAUAGUGAGUAAUAGUAACCUAUCGUAUCGCAUGCUUAAUGUAGCGAUGAGUCUUUCAAGUUUCUGCCCUAUCAGCUUUCGAUGGUAGUAUAUGGGCCUACCAUGGCAGUAACGGGUAACGAAGAA